CUUCUUCUCUUUCCAUGCCAUAUGAAGGAGUCAUCCACUGGAAGUGGUGGAAGCUUACACACAGGUAGUAGUCCACAGCCCUUUAGGCUAACAUUAGAAUCUUAUAAUGUGGACUAGUUACUCCCUUUUCAAGCUGAAUUUUUAUCCCUCCCCCCCCCUUCUUUGUAUAUGCAUAAAUUGGUAUAUUCCAGGCAUGGAAAAGGUGGGAACUGAACACAUUUGUACUGUGGAGGAGCAUAAAGCAACAGUUUGGCCCUUACUGAAGUUCUUUCUUGUGGGGAGCUCUCUGUGGACAGGGGGGCUUCUGCGUCUUUUUCUCUGGCAGCAGCACAGCACACAACUUGUCAGCCCACAUUUGGGGCCAUUUCCAAAGCGAUAUUCAGCUUGCAACACACUGUAGGGAGCUGCUGCUGCUGCUGCUGUCAAAAGGGCAAACAGCUCCGUGGCAUGGACUGAAAGCAGCUCCCAGAAUUGUAUAGUCCAUAACUACAGAGCCAGGGAGUGGUAAUUAUUCUGCAUUAAUACAUUCAAAGAAAGAGGAGAUUUAGGUUCUCUGUUCUCCGUGCUGACACAGUAUUAAAAAGGUCAUUUUUCUAUCCUACACCUCUCAACUUCUUGAAAGGCAGAAUGGGACAAACGUUGUCAGAACAGGAGAUUAUACCCUUUCCAAGGGGAAGGGAAACCUCUGUGACAAACCACUGUGAUGCUGGAGUUUAGUGGGAACACUGAGAACAGCACACUCCCUUCCGAUUUAUUAUGUCCUUGCAGGAGUGGGGUGAAGGCAUUUCCCUCCUUUGGGGAUAUAACUAGGUGCUCUUUUUAUUAUUCUCACUAACCCUUCAAUCCAUGGUGCUGACAGCACUCCAACAAUACUGCCUAAUGGCUGGUGAGUAGCUACAGUAGUUCAUAUAUUGCUGUCUCAACAAGGGAAGAUAGUUAGGAUGGGAUGAGAAAAAAUGAAACCAGAUCCUGCUGAGAAGAUCAAACUGCAUAAAAAUCCCUAGACUUUGGCAAGUGUCAUGGUUGCUUUUUCAGAGGAUGAUGACUCAACAAAGAUUUUGAAAACUCUGACCCUUCCUUUGUAUAUGCAUUAUUCUGGAACUGUGUUUAUUAUUUAAUAGAAGAAAUAAAUGAGGUGGCAGCUCCCUCAGAGAGACUCUGACAAACUAAACCUUACCAGUAAAACAAUGAGGGAGAGAUAGAAAAAGCAACUGCCUUCCCAAUGAUCCCGUAAUGGAACCGUAGCUCAGAGAAUGGGGAUAUACGCUUGUUAACCAUUGUUAACUAGUAUUUUUAGUCCUGAUUGCUCUUAGGCUCUGUAUAGUUCCUUUUUUAAUGCAUUUUCUAUACGUUAAUAAAAGAUUCCAAAGGAGAAA